GUUGGUCUGUACAGACGACGCACCGACACGUAGACAAAGUAAGCCUGGGGAAGAGGGUGUGACAAUGAAGUGAUAACAGUAUGGUGUGGUACCGUGAUACAAGGUGUUACACACAUUUUACCGAGAACAUAUUCUAACACCUACCAACAUACGAACACCGGACGUAGCCGACAACAAUAUAUGGAUAGAUUAGCAUUCAUUAAGGAUGUCGACUAUGGUUAAAGGGAUACAGUAUAGUCUACUGGCUCUUAUGUUCUUCUCCGUCAUACUGGUACUGUGGAACAUCGAGUAUGUAACCUUCCAAACAACAAACUACAGCCGCCUUAACUAUCACUGGACGACGACCAGCGACAUACUCUCGUCAAGUAAAGGAAAUGCAUCCUCUGUUGAUCUGGAUAUAUUAUACAUCCCGAAAAUAAGAAUUCAAUUUACAUCAAAGAAUAUAAACGGAUCAGCGACUGCAGACAAUGUAAAACUCAUUAAAGGGAACACCAAGACGAACCUAAAUAUAAUUAAGGGGCCCCACCCGCCACCAUCGCAUGUUAAUAAUACAUUAUUGAAAUUAAACAAUUCCCAUUCUCCUGCUAAAGAAUCAUUAGUAACAACAGAAACUCCACAAACGCGUGUUGACGAUUUGCCAGUGACAACAGAAACUCCACAAAAGCGUGUUAACGAUUUGUCAGUGACAACAGAAACUCCACAAACGCGUGUUGACGAUUUGUCAGUGACAACAGAAACUCCACAAAAGCGUGUUGACGUUUUGCCAGUGACAACAGAAACUCCACAAACGCGUGUUGACGAUUUGAUAGUGACAACAGAAACUCAACAAACGCGUGUUGACGAUUUGUCAGUGAAAACAGAAACUCCACAAACGCGUGUUGACGAUUUGAUAGUGACAACAGACAAUCAACCAAAGCGUGUUAAUGAUUUGUCAAAGACAACAAGCAAGCCAACAUCUCGUGUAAACAGAACAAUGGUGAAAGUGGACAAGCCAACAUCUCGUGCGAAUGAUUCGUCGGUGAAACUAGACAAACCUCGUGUGAAUAAUACAUCAAAGGUCAAUGUUGAAGAUAGUCCAAAGGACCAGUGGACAAAAUUCCGAUACCCGCUCGAUGUUGAUAUGGUUGAGCUCGUAAGAAAACUAAAAUCAAACAUACCUGUAGCUCAUAAACCUAUAUUUCCGUACAGCUAUAACUUUACUCACCAUCGAAUAGCCAAAUGUAUGUCUGGUACACCGUUUUUUAUCUUUCUUAUCAAAUCCGCUGUUGCGAAUGAUGAAAAUAGGGCGGCGAUCAGAGAGACAUGGGCACAUUCUAAACUUCAAAAGAAAUAUAACUUCAUUCGGAUAUUUUUGGUUGGCAGUUCUGAUAAAAAGUCGGUCAUGUCAGCAAUUAAAACGGAGAGUAGUAAAUACAACGAUAUCGUCCGAAUGUCAUUUCUUGAUAAUUACUAUAACAACACAUUAAAGACGACAGGAGCGAUUCACUGGACCGUACAGCACUGUAACCGCGCCAAGUUUGUAGUUUUUGUCGAUGACGAUAUGCUGGUAUCUAUCAAAUCAUUGUAUUCUUUUAUACACACCAAAGUGACAGGACCGACCUAUUUUGGAGGCCACAUAGAUGUACAGUACCCUCAGCGACAAAAGGGAGAUAAGUGGUACGUGUCUAAUCAGGAUUAUCCCUAUGCUAUUUAUCCCCCGAUGCCGUCUGGAGGAUUUUUAAUCAUGACCAUGAACUUCGUUAUCGACCUGCACUUUGCUACCCAAUACACAAGGAGGUUUAUCUACGACGACGUGUACCUUGCAAUAUUAGCCUACAAGCUCCGUGUUAGACCCGUUAACAUACCGAAAGUCUACGUGACACCAAUAAGGCUUGAUAACGGACUCCUCCAAAACAGUCUGGCAGUGCAUGGGUUCGACCCGUCAGCUCUCAGACUAACGUGGAAGCUGUUCAAACGUUCCUUUGUCCACAGAAGCAAUAUGGCUUAACCACGUCAGCGUCUGACACUUUUCGGGAGUUCCUGUGGGUAGCUUAUUGGACUCUUUUCUGAUGUUCCUGUGGGUAGCUUAUUGGACUCUUUUCGGGUGUUCCUGUGGGUAGCUUAUUGGACUCUUUUCGGGUGUUCCUGUAGGUAGCUUAUUGGACUCUUUUCGGGUGUUCCUGUGGGAAGCUUAAUUGAUUCUUUUCGGGUGCUCCUGUGGGUAGCUUAUUGAUAUAACUCAACACCUUAUCAAUCUGCAGAUCCGUGUCAGUUAGCGAGGCUUGUCCUGCCAAAUAUUCGUAUGUAAGGCCAAUAUCUGAUAACCGAGCUCAGGGCAUGCCGUUCAAUACCUUGUGAUUCGAAAUCUUCGCUUCAGAAACUAUUGGCGACAUUAUAUAAUAUAUUGUGUUAUUAAUAAUUUAUGUACGUGUUGAUCUUUCGUAGUACCAUUAAACAACUGGUAAUUGCUUUAUAAACUGCAUAGAAAACAUAGUGGAGGGAGUCUGUGUUUUUGAUUCAUUGUCGUCGCAUUGUGGUGUCAUUAAUGACACCGAACGGCUAAUGCUACCUGGCCGCAGGCGUCAGUUUCAAAUUCAAAGGAUUUGUCUGCUGAAUAACUGAAUUACUUGGUAAUGAAGAGGACGUAAUACUUUUAAAAACAAACAAACAAGCGAACGAUUCAAAGGAGCUACAUCUCUGAAUACCCUCCUAGAAACAAGGGCGGUCACCGAGCAGAAUUCCGUCAUGAUGUAAUGGUCUCCUCCAAAUCGAUGGGUUCGGAGGUGUGAUUGCGGCAUACAUUUAUCUCAACCGUGUCAUGUUUACCGCCAUAUGAUAGGCUAGUAUCCUUGGUGAUCACUUCCAUAUGCCAAAGAUGCAAGCGGUAAAUGGCUAAGUCUGACCAACAGCAUGGCCGGGGAACACCGAUCUCUACUGUGAAGAGCAUAAACGGAGGAGUAAAAAGAAUUUACUUCCAGAGGAAAAGAAGUUUAACCCUCAACAAAGAGGAUUUCUUCAAAGACUUGUGGACUCAUCCACCAGAAUGUCCUAUGAUUGCACCGAGGUAUCACCUUCCAAGGAUGGGAACUCUUCAACACACCUUACGCUAUGGCACCUCCUGAAGAAGGGAUACCGCACUCCCACACCACGCCUGUGACUUUGGCCUGUGGGCAUGGACAGUGCUUCCUCCGUCCCGUCCCGGUGACGCAAUAUCAAAAGUCGUCCAGUAUCACCUUUAGAGAGGUUUUAAUGUCUUAAAGUCUUGGCACAAUCACGCAUUGUUUUCAUUCUUCUCCUUCACCAUAAUUAAGUUCAGCCAGCUUCGCAUAUCCAAGUCCAGUCGAAUAUACAUAAGCAUCAUAGCAUACCUUAGCUGCCUUCCCCGGUUAAUGUCAGGCUCUGCGUGUUCGAAAGAAUGGGAGAAUGUAUAAAAAUCGAACUAUAGUAUUGAUUGAAGAAAUUGAGCUCAUGAACCUAACUGAAGACGCCACAGUAACCUUUAGGCACGUCGUACAGUAAUAAAAGUGUACUAUUUAUCUAUACUUUCGGAUAAAGACUAUUGUCACCCUUCCUAUUUUUAACACUCUUUCUGAUUGGAUAUCUACGCGGGGUGCAUAUUUCUAUAGAUCCCGCUUUGCCGGAGUCUAUAAAAGCACGUGCGAGGGGAGAUAACUCAAAUUUUAAUCUCUCUUCAUAACAACAAAGAUGGCGUCCGACACACACAAGCGUUCGAGAUUUGUGAAUCAUUCACAUGAUGAAAUCACCUACAUGCAAUCUAGAACGACAGCAAAUUCAACGAAACAUGCAAAGAGGGUGCUGCUAGGGUGCUAAUUACAAAGAUGGUUGUGUAUUAUCCGAAAUAUUGCAGAAAAGAUGUACGGUAGGGGCUAUUUUGGUAGCAGUCAAAUACACCUCGAACUCACAAAGUGACUUGCAAUUUUGCAGGAAAAUUAUAAUAUCAGAUUGCCAGGGUGACAAAUUCGUUAUCUCUGGAUUAGGAGGAGUCUACUAGCUUAUAGACACAUUUAGUCUUACAGACCCCUCGCCUUUGGACCCAGAGAUAACUAAUAAUAAACCACCCGAGGAUUCAAGGAUACAAGGAACAGGACACCGUGUUUUGUGUUAUGAUGAUAAUGUAUUGUUGUCUGAGGAUUGACCUAGUUAUCUGAAAAUAAAUCUUCUUUGCAACAUUCUUCUCCUUGAAGAACAUCUAACGGAAGUUAGCUACUUAUUGCAGAGCAAAAUUAAUCACUUAUGGUGAUGUUUAGGAUGAAGUAUUGACUAUAAGGAAUAAUGUGUCCGACAAAAAUAGGAUUGUUAGCAGUAAUAUGUUGUAAUAAUAAUAAUUCGAGGUUCUUAUAUAUUGCUUUAUCACAACCGAGUUCGUAGGUAGUCUCAAAGCCGUUCGCAAAUUUUUAUCUGUGGUUAUAUGGCCUUAACAACCAGCCAAUAUCUUUAUCAACUCCCUGGGGAGCAUACAGUCUGUGCUGCCUUUCCGGCGCUCACAUCUAGCAUUCUACACUUCUAGCACUGCCCAACUAUGUACUCAUUUACAGCUGAGUAGACUGGAACAAGCGAAGUAACGUUUCUUGCUCA
rnacentral:misc_RNA from 1 species